rnacentral:ncRNA from 1 species
AUAAAGUUUUAUUUUAGCUUUAAAAUUUAUUAUAAAUUUAAUUUAUAUGUAAAUUUUUGUAAGAUUAUUUAUUUAUUUAAAUAAUAAAUAUAUUUUAUUUAUUCACAAUAAUUGAUAUUAUUAAUUAAAGAAAUUUAGAAAAAGUAAUAUAGAAGAGUAUUGACUUAAUUUGUGCCAGCAGUCGCGGUUAUACAUAUAAUACAAAUAAAUUUUAUUAAGUUUAAGUUAAAUUGUUAUUUAAUUAUAAAAAAAGUUAAUUUAUUAAGUGAAAUUUUUAAAUUUAUAUUUUUGUUUAUAUAAAUAAUUGAAGCUUGAAAAUUUUAAAUAUAAACUAGGAUUAGAUACCCUAUUAUAAAAAUUUAAUUUUAAUUUCUAAGGUAGUAUUAGUUAUGUUCUUGAAACUUAAAAAAUUUGGCGGUAUUUUAGUCUAUUCAGAGGAACCUGUUUUAUAAUCGAUAAUCCACGAUGGAUCUUACUUAAAUUUGUUUUCAGUUUAUAUACCGUUGUUAUUAGAAUAUUUUAUAAGAAUAUUAAUUUUCAUAAUUUUAAAAUAAAAAGUAUAUCAAAUCAAGGUGUAGCUUAUAUUUAAGUAUUAAUGGGUUACAAUAAAUUUAUUUACAUAGAUAUAAAUUUGAAAUAUUUAUUGAAAGUGGAUUUGAUAGUAAAAUUAUAAAGAUUAAUAAUUUGAUUUAAGCUCUAAAAUAUGUACAUAUCGCCCGUCACUCUUAUUAUUAAAAUAAGAUAAGUCGUAACAUAGUAGAUGUACUGGAAAGUGUAUCUAGAAUGC